AAUUUUCGGCAAUGGGCGCAAGCCUGACCGAGCAACGCCGCGUGAGUGAUGAAGGNCUNNGGGUUNUNAAACUCUGUUAUAAANNNNNAAUAGUACGAAUGAACUUCGUAUCUGACGGUACUUUAUCAGAAAGCCACGGCUAACUACGUGCCAGCAGCCGCGGUAAUACGUAGGUGGCAAGCGUUAUCCGGAUUUAUUGGGCGUAAAGGGUGCUCAGUCGGUUGAUUAAGUUUGUAGUGAAAGCACGGGGCUUAACCUCGUGUUGCUAUGAAAACUGGUUAACUAGAGUGCAGAAGAGGAUAGUGGAAUUCCAUGUGUAGCGGUAAAAUGCGUAGAUAUAUGGAGGAACACCAGUGGCGAAGGCGGCUAUCUGGUCUGUAACUGACGAUCAAGCACGAAAGCGUGGGGAGCAAAUAGG
rnacentral:rRNA from 1 species